GCGAAAACCUUUUCUGGCUUUUCAAGUUUUUUUUAUCGGGCAGUAUAAGAGGGUAACUUUUUGUUGUUUUUAAUCUUAUUUAACUGACAUGCUAACUUGUUUAUGUGUUAGUUUUAAAAAUGCAACGUUUUUUAUGUUUAUAACUAUUAGCAGCUUACUGAAACACUAUCUGAAUUUAUAUACAAAACGAAUAUUUUUCUGAAUGAUUCAACACUUCGACGCCCAAUCGACGGCCUACUAAUAAUUGCCGCUUAGCGCUGUUAAUUGUUAACAUAGCUUGAUAAUGCGAAUCUUGUGACAUUUGCACUAAUAACAGUAUGUGCCACAUUAAUAUUUUGUCAAAACUUGAUUUUUCUUGACGGUCAGCACUUCAGUUUGGCUAAAAAAAAAACACGUUAAAAAUACCGGAAUACCGGUAUUUACCGGUAUUCUGAUGGCGGUAUAUCGGUAUUCGGUAUUUGCGAUAUCGAUCCAGCCUAUNNNNNNNNNNNNNNNNNNNNUAGCUUGAUAAUGCGAAUCUUGUGACAUUUGCACUAAUAACAGUAUGUGCCACAUUAAUAUUUUGUCAAAACUUGAUUUUUCUUGACGGUCA
rnacentral:lncRNA from 1 species